GGGCCCGCACAAGCGGUGGAGCAUGUGGUUUAAUUCGAUGCAACGCGAAGAACCUUACCAGGGUUUGACAUAGUACGAAGUUUUUUGAAAAAAAACCACCUUCGGGAACGUACAUACAGGUGGUGCAUGGCUGUCGUCAGCUCGUGUCGUGAGAUGUUGGGUUAAGUCCCGCAACGAGCGUAACCCUUGUUUUUAGUUGCCUUUCGAGGAUAUUUAGAAAGACUGCCGAUUAUAAAUCGGAGGAAGGUAAGGACGACGUCAAGUCAUCAUGCCCCUUACACUCUGGGCUACACACGUGCUACAAUGGUAGGUACAGAGGGAAGCCACCCCGCGAGGGGAGCG
rnacentral:rRNA from 1 species